rnacentral:rRNA from 1 species
CCUACGGGCGGCAGCAGUGAGGAAUAUUGGUCAAUGGCCGUAAGGCUGAACCAGCCAAGUAGCGUGAGGGAAGACUGCCCUAUGGGUUGUAAACCUCUUUUAUGCGGGGAUAAAGGUGUCUACGUGUGGAUGUUUGCAGGUACCGCAUGAAUAAGGACCGGCUAAUUCCGUGCCAGCAGCCGCGGUAAUACGGAAGGUACGGGCGUUAUCCGGAUUUAUUGGGUUUAAAGGGUGCGUAGGCCGGUCUUUAAGUGUGCCGUGAAAUCUUGGGGCUCAACCAUGAGAGUGCGGCGCGAACUGGAGACCUUGAGUGCGCGCAAGGCAGGCGGAAUACGUGGAGUAGCGGUGAAAUGCUUAGAUAUCACGAAGAACCCCGAUUGCGAAGGCAGCCUGCCGCAGCGUUACUGACGCUGAAGCUCGAGAGCGUGGGUAUCGAACAGGAUUAGAUACCCUUGUAGUC